UUUUUAGUUUAGGCUAAUUUUUGAGUUGGAAGUCGGUUGAAUUUUUUUAUUAAAAUUUUUAUUUUUUAAUUUUUAGUGUUAGCACACCUACUGAGUGUAACCAAAACUGAUACUAAUAACCUUCGAGAAGUUCUCUUCAUUGUCCUUCGUCUUCAAUACCAGACCCUUAAUUCAGUCACAACCCAUCUAGGUGGAAAGUUCUCAUCAAUACAAAUUUAUCAAGUCCAAACACAAGGUAGCUACUGGGAACCGUUGAAGAGUUCUCUUAACUGUCCUUCGUCUUCAU